UCAAAUUUGAAAUCUGGCCCCUCUGGGGGUCCGAGUUGUAAUUUGCAGAGGACACUUCGGGUGCGGUCGCGGUCUAAGUCCCCUGGAACGGGGCGUCGGAGAGGGUGAGAAUCCCGUCUGGGACCGUGGACCUGCCCCGUGUGAAGUUCCUUCGACGAGUCGAGUUGUUUGGGAAUGCAGCUCUAAGUGGGUGGUAAAUUUCAUCUAAAGCUAAAUACCGGCGGGAGACCGAUAGCGCACAAGUAGAGUGAUCGAAAGGUUAAAAGCACCUUGAAAAGGGAGUUAAACAGCACGUGAAAUUGUUGAAAGGGAAGCGCUGGCAGCCAGACAGGGACCCGGGGGCUCAGCGGGCAUGCGUGCCCGUGCACUCCCCCGCGGUCCCGGCCAGCAUCGGUUUCGGCGGCCGGUCAAAGGCCCCGGGAAGGUAUCGUCCUCCGGGACGACUUACAGCCCGGGGUGCAAUGCGGCCAGUCGG
rnacentral:rRNA from 1 species